UACGUAGGGUGCGAGCGUUGUCCGGAAUUACUGGGCGUAAAGAGCUCGUAGGUGGUUUGUCGCGUUGUUCGUGAAAACUCACAACUCAAUUGUGGGCGUGCGGGCGAUACGGGCAGACUGGAGUACUGCAGGGGAGACUGGAAUUCCUGGUGUAGCGGUGGAAUGCGCAGAUAUCGGGAGGAACACCGGUGGCGAAGGCGGGUCGCUGGGCAGUAACGUGGACG
rnacentral:rRNA from 1 species